rnacentral:rRNA from 1 species
GGCCAGACUCCUACGGGAGGCAGCAGUGGGGAAUAUUGCACAAUGGGGGAAACCCUGAUGCAGCGACGCCGCGUGAGUGAAGAAGUAUUUCGGUAUGUAAAGCUCUAUCAGCAGGGAAGAAGUUGACGGUACCUGAGUAAGAAGCCCCGGCUAACUACGUGCCAGCAGCCGCGGUAAUACGUAGGGGGCAAGCGUUAUCCGGAUUUACUGGGUGUAAAGGGAGCGUAGACGGCAGUGCAAGUCUGAGGUGAAAGCCCCGGGCUUAACCCGGGAACUGCUUUGGAAACUGUACGGCUGGAGUGCUGGAGAGGUAAGCGGAAUUCCUAGUGUAGCGGUGAAAUGCGUAGAUAUUAGGAGGAACACCAGUGGCGAAGGCGGCUUACUGGACAGUAACUGACGUUGAGGCUCGAAAGCGUGGGGAGCAAACAGGAUUAGAUACCCUCGUA